UCUGGAAAAGCUGGCGUUUUUUUACUGUGCAGCAUGCACACAUGAUGAUCCACAGGGUGGCUCGCUGAAGCUGUCAGCUAGAUUGGAUGUUUGUGGCCUCGUCUUAUGAUGAUCCUGUUAUCUUCUAUCCUCCAAUGAUGCCCACCAGGUGCUCGGUUGAUGUACAUGAUGCUGCUUUCUCCUUCUCCAAGCAUGUGGUAGAGGUUAUUAUGAGCAUCCAGCCAUCCAU
rnacentral:lncRNA from 1 species